UACGAAGGGGGCUAGCGUUGCUCGGAAUUACUGGGCGUAAAGCGCACGUAGGCGGGUUCUUAAGUCGGUGGUGAAAUCCUGGAGCUCAACUCCAGAACUGCCUUUGAUACUGAAGAUCUUGAGUUCGGGAGAGGUGAGUGGAACUGCGAGUGUAGAGGUGAAAUUCGUAGAUAUUCGCAAGAACACCAGUGGCGAAGGCGGCUCACUGGCCCGAUACUGACGCUGAGGCACGAAAGCGUGGGGAGCAAACAGG
rnacentral:rRNA from 1 species